rnacentral:rRNA from 1 species
GAUGAACGCUGGCGGCGUGCCUAAUACAUGCAAGUCGAGCGAACAGAUGAGGAGCUUGCUCCUCUGACGUUAGCGGCGGACGGGUGAGUAACACGUGGAUAACCUACCUAUAAGACUGGGAUAACUUCGGGAAACCGGAGCUAAUACCGGAUAAUAUAUUGAACCGCAUGGUUCAAUAGUGAAAGGCGGUUUUGCUGUCACUUAUAGAUGGAUCCGCGCCGCAUUAGCUAGUUGGUAAGGUAACGGCUUACCAAGGCAACGAUGCGUAGCCGACCUGAGAGGGUGAUCGGCCACACUGGAACUGAGACACGGUCCAGACUCCUACGGGAGGCAGCAGUAGGGAAUCUUCCGCAAUGGGCGAAAGCCUGACAGAGCAACGCCGCGUGAGUGAUGAAGGUCUUCGGAUCGUAAAACUCUGUUAUUAGGGAAGAACAAAUGUGUAAGUAACUAUGCACGUCUUGACGGUACCUAAUCAGAAAGCCACGGCUAACUACGUG